CACACACACACACACACACACACACACACACACACAGCGGAAGAUGAUGCGUACACAUGGCAUUUUCCAUUUCACUCAACCGCACUCACGCCUUCACUGGAAUAGCUUUGUUUUCCCGCCGUGGGGUGUGGCUUUACCAGGUUAAUGAGAGCCCCCCAUACUGGGAACAGGUACAGUUGCUGUCUGAAGACAAUUUCAUUGUUUUCUUGUUCUUGGAAGAGCAGUCAAGAGAACAAAAUAUGAAUUGAAAAAUAGAUAAAAUAUAGUAACGCUAGAUAAAAGAUGGUAACGGUGGGUUCAACAAACAAAUGAAGUUAUGAUAGAAUGAAUAAAUAAAUGAAUCUGAAAUAAAUAAACAUAUAGGAGAUCUAUAUAAUGAGCCUACUUUCACUUUUUGCUUUUUCCUCUCACUGUCAGUGUUGUGAUCUGCCUGCACUUCCUUACAACAUAAAUAAACUUCGAGAUUGUGGAGUGCGAGGAUUAAGGGUUGAGGGAGAACGAUAAACACAGUACAAGUGCAUGUGUCAAAGAUCUCGACUAUUGACCCUCACUUUACAUAACUUUUCUUCUUUCAGGGAUGGUUAUGGCAGAGUGCUAGGUGACCGCGAGGCUUCUUGGUGAUGUUUGGCUGUGUAUGUCCCCCAACGCUCCUCCAGCGUCGAAGAGAUGGUUCAGGCAAACUCACAGUGGACCUCGAGGCGCCAGGAGUCAACCAGAGGGGCGUGUUUAAUCUUGCUGGACUCGGCGUGGCACUGCAGCUCCUCCCCGGCGUUCUUCACCUUGGGCUGGAACCUCAGCGUGCUCAGAGACGUGUUGCCUCGAAUCUCGUUCUGCGUGACGGAGAAAUCUGAGUAGCAUUGAUCUUCUUGCCGAGGAACCACCAGGUGAUGUCUGCCGGGGGGAGGCCGUGACGACUCUCACAGGUAAUGUUGUACUGCCGACCCACCACCAGGGGAUGGUCGGG